AUCCUGGCUUCGGUCAGGUGAGAGUGGCGGACGGGUGAGAAACGCGUGGGAACCUGCCCAUUGGUUCGGAACAACCGCGGGAAACUGCGGCUAAUACCGGAUACGCCCCUGGGCAACCAGGGGGAAAGAUUUAUCGCCAUUGGAGGGGCCCGCGUCCGAUUAGGUAGUUGGUGAGGUAACGGCUCACCAAGCCUACGAUCGGUAGCUGGUCCGAGAGGAUGAUCAGCCACACUGGGACUGAGAUACGGCCCAGACUCCUACGGGAGGCAGCAGUGGGGAAUAUUGGACAAUGGGGGCAACCCUGAUCCAGCAAUGCCGCGUGAGUGAUGAAGGCCUUCGGGUUGUAAAGCUCUUUUACCAGGGACGAUGAUGACGGUACCUGGAGAAUAAGCCCCGGCUAACUUCGUGCCAGCAGCCGCGGUAAUACGAAGGGGGCGAGCGUUGUUCGGAAUUACUGGGCGUAAAGCGCACGUAGGCGGUCCUAUAAGUCAGUGGUGAAAUACGGCAGCUUAACUGUCGAGGUGCCAUUGAUACUGCAGGACUAGAGUACUGUUGAGGUAGGCGGAAUGGACGGUGUAGCGGUGAAAUGCUUAGAUAUCGUCCAGAACACCGAUAGCGAAGGCAGCUUACUAA
rnacentral:rRNA from 1 species